AACGAACGUUGGCGGCGUGCUUAACACAUGCAAGUCGAGCGCGAAUCCUUGCUUCGGCGAGGUAGUAGAGCGGCGAACGGGUGAGUAACACGUGAGUAAUCUACCUUCAAGUUUGGGAUAACGACCCGAAAGGGUUGCUAAUACUGGAUAAGACCACAACGCCCCUGGGCGGAUGUGAGAAAAGGACUUCGGUCGCUUGAAGAUGAGCUCGCGUCCCAUUAGCUAGUUGGUGAGGUAAUGGCUCACCAAGGCGUUCGAUGGGUAGGCUGGUUUUAGUAGGAUGAUCAGCCACACUGGAAC
rnacentral:rRNA from 1 species